rnacentral:sRNA from 1 species
AUUUACAAAAUCCAGAUGGAUUAUGUCUCAACAGAAGCUGUUGGCCGGGGUUCCCAGAGUCACUAGGAUAAAGCUGGCAGCUUCGCUUUUUCUAAAGGGUCCUUCCUCCUGGCUCUCCGGGUCACCAGUCUCUUCAGAAGAUCAUGGACCUUCCGAGUUAUUGGAUAUGGCAGACAGUGAAACGGGUGAGACUGCACUGCACAAGGCUGCCUGCCAGCGGAACCGGGCUGUGUGCCAGCUUCUGGUGGAUGCAGGAGCAUCUCUGAGAAAGACGGACUCCAAGGGUAAGACACCUCAAGAAAGAGCACAGCAGGCUGGGGACCCAGACUUGGCUGCUUACCUAGAAAGCCGUCAGAACUAUAAGGUCAUUGGCCAUGAGGACCUGGAAACUGCUGUUUGACCCUGGUAUUCGGGCAAAGAGAAUGUGAGCAAGCGUAUCACAUCUGCCCUCCCUGUGAUUGGGCAGCUCCCGUGGAAGAAGCUGAUGGAAUUCAUAUAUCUGUCUCUCUCCUGCAAGAAUCUACCUGAGACCAUGCCACUAGCUUUUAAGGGCUACCAAGAUGUACAACAGAACAUGAUAGC